CAGGGGAGACCUUAUUGCUCUCUACAACUCCCUGAAAGGAAGCUGUGGUGAGGUGGAGGUCAGCCUUUUCUCCCGGGUAACAAUGAUAGGAUGAGAGGUAACAGCCUCAAGUUGAGACGGUAGAGGUUUGGGUUGGAUAUUAAUUAAAAUUUAUUCUCUGGGAUAGUGGUGAGGCAUUGGCACAGGCUGCCCAGGGAGACAGUGCAGUCACCACCCCUAGAUGUGUUCAAGAACCGUGUGGAUGUGGCACUGAGGGAUGUGGUUAGUGGGCAUGGUGGGGAUGGGCUGACAGUCGGACUAAAUGAUCUUAAAGGUAUUCUCCGAUCUUAAUGAUUCUGUGAUUCUACAUUUCUCUCUGUGCUUAAUCAGAGAUUUCUUCUUUUGUAUGCUGGGUGGUAAUUCAGGUGUCUGUGGUGGUCUUGAAGCAAGAUCUGAAAUGUGGUCAGAAACAAAACUAAAAAAGACUCCUUUAUAAAAAAGAAUUUUUCCUCACAGGUGUAGUUUAGAGAGCUUUCAAAUGAAGUGUCACAAUGGCCCAAUUGCUUUAAUUGUACCAACGGGGGAGGAUUUUUGCCUAUCAAGCUGUAUGGAAGGAAAGGAGAAUUGUUUGGUGUAAGCUCUCUGCGUGCUGGAGAUGCAAACUAAACUUCUUCCCAUGGAAAAUACUGGUUGCUUGGAAGAAAUGCACCAUGAGCAAGCUGAAAGGUACAGCAGGCACCUGAUACAUCCCAGCAAGAGGUGAGUGCUGAGCCACACACACUAGACAGCCUGGUCCUUGUGGGGGACACAGGCACAUGGCAUGGGGGAAAUCUCAUCUUCAGUUGCUAGCAAAGAGAUACUGUGGCCUCACUGAAGUUUUCUCUUGCAUGGUUUCUGCUUCCUUUGUGGAUUGGGGUAUCAACCAUGUGAUGUGCGUUUAGCUUUUUCUGCAAGUGCCACACACUUGGCAUGUGGGUGAUGGUUCCAGUGGGUACUACUGGUGGUGCAGAUAAAGAUUGGCAAGGCAGGGUCACAGCAGCAAGAGGCAAUGCCCAGGGUGUUGAGGGCAGCAGGGCCGCUCCCUUUCUGUGUGCAGCCUGUGCUGGGGGCCUGGGGCUCUGUCUACACUCAGUUCUUUCAGAAGAACAUGUAUUUGUACUCAGUGUCUGGGUAAAGGUGUCAGGUUUUCAGUCUAUAACAGUCUGAGAGUGAGGAUGCGUAAUUUAUCUGUGGGUAUUUUCCCCAGGUCCUUUCACCUACACAAAUUGCCAAAGCUAUUCUAGAAAAGAACGAGGCAGAAAAGCAAUGGGUAAUAUAUUCUGACUGUAUUUCAAAGUUGCUGAUUGUAAACAAACAUCGUUGAAGAAAUAAAUUCACAUGACAAGAUAUCAGAGUGAUACUAUAAAUCCAUUUUGUUAUUGUUGCCACACUUCACAUUUUGUUUUUGGAACUCAGAAUUUAGCUCAUGGUGUACAAAACUUGUAAAAAUUUAUUGCAAGCGUGCCUUUGUGUAGAACAAAACUGGUGUCACAAAAGUAGUUCCCUGUCCCCAUGCAGAAACACAGCUGUGGAUGGCUCUGCGAAGAGCUCACACACAUGCAUUUCCCCGAAAGACGUGGCUGUUAGAAAACUGCUCGGAGAAAUGAAAAAAGGAAAGAAAGCGAUUGCAGCGUAUGCUUCACCUCUGGAAUUUACAUCUGCAGCAGAAAUCUCUGGAAUUGUUAGGAAUAUGGACCUUUGCAACAGAAUUGCGAUCGCUGAUGUGAGCGCAGCCCGAAGGAGCUGUUUUGAAAGCGUUCUGACCGCUGAGGCCAACCUUUGCGUUUGGUGCAGUUGCCGCAAUAGAUGGAACGUCGCUUUAACAUUUUAAAUAGAAAUUAGAAUGAGAUGGGGAUGGGGAGAUUCCUUUUCCAGAAUUCCCAUUGCUCCCAUCUCUUCCUACAGCACCCCCUCAGCCUCCCUCCCUCACACUCCUUGCUCUGUGACUACCGAUGUGCACAGUGUAAGCAAAGGCGUGGAGUGGCUGUGCAGAGUGGUCGUAUCAAACAUCAGCCUUUUCUUUUGGACUCAGGGCAGCAGGGGAAGGGGAGUGCACAUGCUGACAGAUAAGUUAGAAGGGAUCACCUGGCUCCUCUCUGCAUGCCCACCUCUUCUAUUCCCUCUGCCUCUUCAUUGCACUAAUUAGCCUCACCUGUGGCAAAAAUCUUUGGUUGCCCCUGAUCUCUCUUCAGAACACAGGGUGAAGUUAUUUUUAACUUCUGUACUGAAAUGCCAGGCAAACAUUUGGCUUAUAAACAGAGGAAAAAUCCAGGCUGCGAAAGUAAGUGUGAGACCUGUAAUUUGUUUUCUAUCAACUGAGUAACUUGGUUUCACAAAGAGAUGCAAACAGUUCAACACGCUUUGCACACACCUUGGCACAGAUUAAUUGAAGAAAAAGGACUACAUCGUGACUUUGACACCGAGAGGGUUGAGGCUCUGGACAGAUGAACCUACAGUGUACUGGGCUCUUCUUCAUUGUUUCUAGGUUUUUUUGGUAAUAAGUGAAAUUGAGCGCUCUGUUUGAAAUCCAGAGCAUUCUUUAAUUCUUGAAGAGUAGAAGUAUUUGCAGGCUUUUUGAUUCUAAUGAACAGAGAUGUUUGGGCACUCAUUUUGCCUCUCUCUGCUUAUCCUAUUGGAUCCUGAAUGUCCCAGCCCUACAGCACGGUGCCAUGGUCCCUUCCCAUUAGGUUCUCCAUCCAGAUUCCCCAAGCGUUCCAGGAUUGUUGCAGUUACAUCAAAUGAGCACUUUUGCAGAGUAAUGUUUUCACGGAUAGAAUUUUUGCAUUACACAUGGCGUGGACCACUUUGACAUCUAAUGCUAGCAGUCAUUACUUCAGAAGAGUGAUACAAAAGGGAUUUACCACGUAAGGCCUUUCAGUGAUACCUAACAGCUGCUCACCAGCCCUAUCAGACUGGUAAGUAUGAAGGGUUUAAAUAAAAGGUGAGGGGGAAAAAAAAAAGAGAGAAAGGAAAAAGAAAACCAAACCACUGACAAGAAAAACAAAACGUAAUAUCUUGGACAGUGCUGAGAGCUGUCACAGCCAUUCCAAUGGGAGCAGUGGGGAGGUGAUGCCGAAAUCUCUUGGGCCCACGUGAAACCUGGUGGGGCAGCACUAAUGGGGCAAAACAGGAACACCUUCACAGUGACUAAAUGACUAAAUUUAGCAAUUACUAAAGGCUUCAGAAACGAUACCCUGUUCCAUCUGUGAUUUUCAGAAUGUCAGGAAGGAUCAGUUGAAGCAAUACUACAGAAGGAAAUGGAAAGGCCAACUCUGUGUUGUCACUUCUUCUAGGUGGUGAACUGACCAAGAGCUGGGGGCAUGAUUGAGAUGAGCUCCAAAGGCAUUGUUGGCCAGGGAAGUCCUUCAGGGCUAAAUUGUGGAAGAAUUUAGAGUUUUUGUGUGGAAGCGUGGAUAUUUCUCAGCUGUUCCCCAACAGUGAAAUGACCACAUAAGGGCCGUUCCAGUUUGAGUUCGUGAUGCUUCUGGAAAGCAAGGCAGGUUUGGGAAGAGCCUUUACAAGAGGAAAUAUAUACUGAGUAGCAUUGGCAACAGGCUUACAGCCGAGAUGGAUUCUUGCUCUGUGCAAAAUAGCCUAGUUAAUAUGAAGGCCAAAUACAUAAAUGUUUUGAAGCUGAAGUUUCUCACCUUUCAAAACAUUAGGAACGUUUUUUUGACACUUACAUGCUUUUCUCAACCGGACUGAGAUGUAUUCAUGUUUAACAGACAAUCUCACACCAAUCAUAGCAAUCAGAAAUUGCUGUGGUAAAUUCCACAGCAGGGAUGGAUGGAAGACUUUGUACUUUCCUCAAGACUGCCUCAGUAAUUAUUUCUCUGAAUUUUGCACUGAUGUCUGGUCUACAGCAGAGCUUUGGAUUCUGUGUUUAUUUCCCUGCUUCCUGCUCCCCUUGCAGGUUGGGCUGCUCUGUUUUAUUGAGCUUUCUCUUACCUUCAGCACAAUUUGGUUUUGACUCAUAUAGGCCUAUAUAUACAAAGAACUAGUGCUGUGCUCCCACAGCUCUUGCUGCAGAGCAGGAUGAUGUCUGUCCUGCUCCCAGUUUUAGUCUGGAAAAGCAGAUCUGACAAAGAAUGAAGUUGCUGAAAAUGCAGAACAUGGACUUAAUCAGCAAGAGUGCAAGCCCUGUUUUACAGUUUCAUCACGCAUUUAUCUCUGCUGUGCCUCACUGAUUAUGAAGGGGAAAGCUCCUAUAAGAAGGGAUAAUGGUGUCUGAUGACUACCGCCGUCGUAAGAGCACUUUCCAAGAGGUAGGCACACAGAGCUAUCACUGCAGCAUAAACCUCUGCUCAUCACUGAAAUCAGCCACAGGGCCAGUGGAUACCGAGACAUGCAAGACACAAAGCCGGUCGAGGACUUACCCACCAGCUCAAGGCAGUCUGCUAAAUGCUAGAAGGAAAAAUAUAUAUAUAUCCCUUCAGCAAAAAUAAAAAGCCACAACCACAGAAGCACAGCUGAAGGUGAUGAAAGGGCUUGGAGUUGCUCUCUUUCAUGCCAGUCUGGAAAUGGGUAAAUGUAUUUUUCUGAAGAAAACAAAGUUGUACCCUAUUAGUGGCACUGGGAUGUCACUGUAAAUGAAGAAGAGCUGGGGCCAGAGAAAAGAAGUUGAAAACAGCAAAGAGGUGACUUUAAAUUGUGCCAUAGUGUCAAGUGCACAAAUGGGCUGAAGUAAAAAAUGGCAGAGUUUCUGCAAGCCCUUGGAGCGUUUUUCAACUAAGACAACAGCAGUGGAAACCGUUUCAUGGUGGCUUCUGAGCUCUUGUCAUAUUGUUAUAUUAUGCACUAGGAAAGAAAUGCUUUCCAAGUAUGGAUCGUGGCAGGACAGAGAUUUCUCGAAAGAAGCACUGUGCAUAGAAGGUGGUCAGUAUGUCUCACUGAUGGUCUUCGUACUCUGGAACAGAGUUUGCAUACCAUACUUAAAUCAUGUUCAGAAGUCCAUGCGAAUUAACAUUCAGUUCAGCAGGAGAGACACGAGCCUUCCUGCUCCCGCGUCUACUUCAGCUUCAAACCCUCUUUCCUAGAAAAAUGUACAGAAGUUCCUCUGCGACCUGGUUGGCAUUUCAACUGUAUUUAGCCACUGCUGUAAGAGACCUUAAGAGACCUUCUCACCUGAAAGGUCUCUUACCCAGAUUGUCUCAAGGAUACAAAAAAAACCAAGACAGAAAAACGUGGUGUCAUUUCACAAGCCGUUGCACAAUUAACAUACACGCGCACAGUACAACUAGCAUCCUUGCACUACUUUGAGACUAAACCAUUUUUUUUCCCCUUUACCUAGGGAGAAGCUUUAGUGUUACAGGUAGGUGGGAAAACCAAAUCUGAGUCAGCCAGUUUGCAGUAAAGGAAAUGCUACAGAUUCUAAGCUGCGAGAAGCAAACUUUUACUUUAUAAUCUCAUUCAAUUUCUUCCUUAAUUACUUUGCUGUUUUUUGUUUUGUUUUUAAUAGUAACUUAAAGAAAGUGCAAGAUGCUUUUUCAACAAGGAGAAAUCCUAACUUCCCUCAACCCUAUCCACUCCAAGUCAGCAGAUGGAGGAGAUAAGGUGGAACAGUUAUCCGUGGGUAUAAACUAUGCUUUGGUGGGUUCUGCUUGUUGGCUUUCAGAGCCAAAAUUCAAACAUUUUGUACAUAUAAAUAUAUAUAAAUAUUUUUGCUUACUUAUGGAAUGUUUGUGCAUGCUUUGGGCACCAGUUCAAAAUGAUGAAAGAUGAUUAAGGCUAAGAAAAUGAAAUUCAUUGCAAAGCUAUAAUUUUGUUUAAAUUUUUCUCCUUUGCAAAAGGAGACUAAAGCAUCUUCCCUGUAAUAGUCAGCCACUGUGUAAUCCCCCAUCAACACCAAUUCUAGGGAAAACUACUCAGGACCCAGUCCCUGAGGCAAAAAGCGAGGACCUCGUCAUUUUAGCUCAAGUAAUCCACAUAAUUAACAACGUAAAUUAGUAGAAAAACUCAAUGUUCCAAAGCCUUGGACCUACUGACACCUGAAAAAGAAAAGGCAUUUUCUAAAUGGGAAGGCAUAGAUCCAGGCCUUCAAGCAUACACGGAAAUGAUGUAACAAUUUGCAAAGAGCUCCAGCUCUAGCUGAAGGGGCUUAGGACAUAGCUGGAGAGUGCUGCGCUUGCUCCUCGGACACACAAAGCAGCUCCUAGGAAGCCCUGCCAGCCUCUCUGUUGCUGCUGGGGGCAUCAGCAUCUUGCAAAUGCUCUGGUCUAGCAGGGGAAUGAAAGGAAGCUGGGCUCACAGCAGCUACUGUUCAUGCAACAUUUGACCUGCAGAGUUCCUGCCACACCUUUCCCUUAUGAUCCUAACUCUGACUGCCAUAUAAACUUACAGGGCAUAAUGGAGUUGUCACCAUGCAUCCUGUCACAAUGAAAGCUGGCAUUGCCUGAGCAAAGAGCUUGCAACAAUAACGCUGUUUGCCUUCAGGUAUCUCUGUGGAGUCUCUUAAGAAAUGGAAACUGAGGGCUGGACGUUUGUUUUCUAUGUUUUGUGUUAGCCUCACCCCCGCCAGGAUAUUAAGACUGGAAAGACCCAGCCACGCCACACAUUCAGUCUGCAGAAGGAUCAUCUCCAUUCCCUGCUGGGACAAGGAGAUUUGAACUCAUCCUCAGGGUCCUCCAUAGCCCAGCAUUACCAAGGACUUACAGUGGUACAAACCCUCCCCUUCCUCUUGAGCCUCUGAGGCUUCCAGUUGUAACCUACACAGUUGUAACCUCCACUAUUCUCUUUUCCAGGAUGGAGAUGCUGUGGACUGAGAAGUGAAAACAGGCGCUUAAUAAACCUGCAGUUUGUCACUCAUCUUGAGGCUGGCAGGCAGAGCAGGACAGGUGGGGUAGUUUCCAGGUUGUACUGCAAGCAGAACCACCGAAGUGUUGGCUGUCCCUUUACUUUCCCUGCAACCAGGUGAGAUCUGUCUAAGCUUACUCCAAAAAUCAAGGUGUUGGUGGAAACAGAAAGCUGUCAGUGCAUGGAUUCUCUUUGGGCCAGUCAGUGAUUUACCAGCCCCUGCUGAUUUGCACAUUGGGCAUUUGCAGUGCUCUGGCAUCUCUGAUGGUCACAGCAAUUGAAAUCAGAGAGCUCUGAAAUUCAUGUUCAUGACCCUUUAUAUAAACUGGUGAGGUUUAUACUGAUCAUUACAUCAAUCGAUUGCUCCAUUCCUCUUAAAUCAGCCCAAGUCAUUCUUUCGUAAAACUUCUCAGGAAAUGCUAAGCUUGGAGACCAAAAAUCAGUCGGUCCCUAAAGCAAUGUGGUUUAUGUCCUGUAGGUUAAUACAAUCCUGUCUGUUUCCAUCACUGCUAACCUUUAGAAUACAGAAGGGUUUUUUGGUGAUUGAGUUCUGGACUGAAAUCAAUAACGUGUAGAGAGCAGGGCAGUAUUUCACCUCCAUAUCAAUUCUCUCCUGUUUCAGCCAAGUUUCCCUCUCUCUCCACUGCUUCCCAAAGCUUUACUGCCUUCAGAUUCCACCAACGCCAAACUGCAGCCACUCAGCCACAGGCACCAGCAUGUGACAAUGCUUGUCCUCUACAGUGUGACUCAGACCAGGUGAACUCAUUGGGCUUGCUCUGUUUUAGUGAUGUUUAACUUCUGUCUGUAACUGGACUUCUUUCUUUUUGCAAAACACAACACUAUGUUAUUUUGACAAACAAGUAAUCUGCUUAAUUACAGCUACUGCAACAAGCCCUUUGUUCUAGUGAGAAGAAUUCCUACAGAACAUCCCGCAGUGAUAAUGCGAAACACACAGCUAUUUGUGGAUUAUUUUCUUCCUGCCAACUGUGUGCCAAAAUGAAGUUCCAAAAUGGACUGAAAAGCCUUGACACUUAUGAAAGGAAAUUAAACAAAUUGUUUUUGUUAUCCACUUAACAGUCCAUUAGGUUAGACUUUAAAGCAACAUACAAGACAGCUGAAAUCAAGAAAAAAUAUGACUUAUGUUCUUAUUUCUGACCUGUAUACCAACUGUGGCAGUUGAGAUGUGAGGCAGUAGUAAUUCACUCACUGUUCAUGUAUAAAAUGUUUCAUCUUAGUU